AUUGAACGCUGGCGGCAGGCCUAACACAUGCAAGUCGAGCGGUUGAGGUAGCUUGCUACCGAUGCAGCGGCGAACGGGUGAGUAAUGCAUGGGAAUCUGCCUGGUAGUGGGGGACAACGUCUCGAAAGGGACGCUAAUACCGCAUACGCCCUACGGGGGAAAGGGGGGGAUCUUCGGACCUCUCGCUAUCAGAUGAGCCCAUGUCGGAUUAGCUAGUUGGUGAGGUAAAGGCUCACCAAGGCGACGAUCCGUAACUGGUCUGAGAGGAUGAUCAGUCACACUGGAACUGAGACACGGUCCAGACUCCUACGGGAGGCAGCAGUGGGGAAUAUUGGACAAUGGGCGCAAGCCUGAUCCAGCCAUGCCGCGUGUGUGAAGAAGGCCCUAGGGUUGUAAAGCACUUUCAGUGGGGAGAAAGGUGAUUCACCUAAUACGUGAGUCAAUUGAUGUUACCCACAGAAGAAGCACCGGCUAACUCCGUGCCAGCCGCCGCCGUAAAAC
rnacentral:rRNA from 1 species